rnacentral:ncRNA from 1 species
GUGAAAGCGAUGAUUGGGACGAGUACUUGGCGUCAAGCUGAUGUCAGCGAACCGGGGGUUGGUGCGAGCCCGGACUUUGGCGGCGAAGGAAUAUCACCCAUGAGCAUCUCUUGAACCGAUUAGAAGUAAAGAGCAUCGGCUGAUCCCGUUAUCGAUCAUGGAGCGAAGACGCUUCGGUGAAAGGGCAGGUUGGCUUGAAUGGUCAAGCGAUCGCCCUGUAUUCGUUUGUGUCUUAAUUUGGGUGGUACCGCGAGACUUCUCGUCCCUAAG